rnacentral:rRNA from 1 species
GACGAACGCUGGCGGCGUGCUUAACACAUGCAAGUCGAACGGAAAGGCCCUGCUUUUGUGGGGUGCUCGAGUGGCGAACGGGUGAGUAACACGUGAGUAACCUGCCCUUGACUUUGGGAUAACUUCAGGAAACUGGGGCUAAUACCGGAUAGGAGCUCCUGCUGCAUGGUGGGGGUUGGAAAGUUUCGGCGAUUGGGGAUGGACUCGCGGCUUAUCAGCUUGUUGGUGGGGUAGUGGCUUACCAAGGCUUUGACGGGUAGCCGGCCUGAGAGGGUGACCGGCCACAUAGGGACUGAGAUACGGCCCAGACUCCUACGGGAGGCAGCAGUGGGGAAUAUUGCACAAUGGGCGGAAGCCUGAUGCAGCAACGCCGCGUGCGGGAUGACGGCCUUCGGGUUGUAAACCGCUUUCGCCUGUGACGAAGCGUGAGUGACGGUAAUGGGUAAAGAAGCACCGGCUAACUACGUG